UUGAUGAUAAUUUGAUUUAUAUCAAUAUAGCUUCAACAUAGGUGGUCACAGAGUAAGGAAUAAGGAACCAGCGUCAUGGUCAGAUGAGAAUGAACAAGCUUUUAUCAAAAUUCUUUACGAGAGAGUGUAAUCAAACGCAUUGCAAUGUUCUAUAUUCACAAAAGACGAAUGGGGCAGGAUCAAUGAAACCAUGAUAGCUUCAACAAAAAUGGAUUACGCCAUAGAUAGAUUGAAGGGAAACUAGAACCGCUUGCGUAAGAUUCAUCGCAUGUUCUCUGAACUUUUGGGAUAUAUAGGUGUUACACGGGAUCCAAAUACUAACAACAUUAAUGUUGUAGAGGAAGUUUGGCAACACUUUUAUACGAUUAACAAGUCGGAUUACAAGUUGUUUAAGAGGGAAGGAUGUAAGCACUACCACGCUCUUGGAGAGAUAUUUAGCGGGAAACAGGAUUGGAUUUCCACUCAUAAGGAAGGAAGGUUAGAUAUCUUUGACAUGGUUGUAUUUUUGGUUAACAAAACUACUUUCACAUUACAUAACCAAGAAAGUCAACCAUAAGUCAUCGCUACUUGAUCGUCCCGAUAUCAUGCUUGGUACUGGCUCUGAUCCUGAUAUGAUUUAUGCAGUUCUGGUUCUCUAAAUCUUAUAGUUAGUCAACGAAAUUUCAAGUACCAUUGGAGAUGUAAGAAAGAGAAGAUUUCCCAUAGCAGAAUCGUGGAUAGGGAACUAUACUAGCAACCUACUCAAUUUAUUGUAGAAAUUUUUGGAUAAAUUAUUAGACCAUGCUCUUACCUCACUGUCAAGCUAUCCGAACAAGAAAAAUGGAUACCAACCCGGACUUGCAAGAGAGCUACUACAACUACUGGAGGAUUAGACAGUGCCUCUACUCAGCUUCCAAACACAUCAGAGGAAGAAUGACAGCUAGAAGAUGAUUUUUUGAAUAGGGGAGUGAAUACACGUGCAGAAAAUGAUGAUGAAGUCGAUGUGGUUUCAAAUAUUCGUCGACGUAAAAAAAUUGGUAUAUCAGGUGAACGACGACGUAAGGAACCUAAGAUCGGUAAAAGUGAUAAACUCGAGGCUUGCAUGGCACAUUGGUCAUCUACAAUUAGUUCGAGGAAUGAAGAAAUUGAACUUAGAACACUUUACUUAAAAGAAAAGUUUGCAAAGAUCCAAGGAAAAAUCAAGUAAUCAAUCGAAUAGUGAAGUAAAUAGUCCGGAUCCUUAUUCAAAUAUUAUUUGCUUGGACAUCUUAAACAAUAUGGAAGGGGUGUCCAACGAGGUUUAUAUGAAAGCAAUAAAGGCUUUUAAGGAUCUCAAUUUUAGGGUGUCAUUUGUAAAGAUGCCAAAAGCAAGGAGAUGACCUAUCUUGGAACUACUUUGAUGUGACUGUGGUGUUAAUUUCUUCAAUAUUGUGUUGUUUUAAUUUGUGACUACUUUGUGUUGUUUUGAACUAUCUUGGAACUACUUUGUAUUGUUUAAAUUUCUCUAGUAUUGUGGUAAUGUUGUACUAUUUUCAUUUACGAACAUAGUGAUGUUGAACGUCGGAUAAUUGAUGUUAAUUUUUCUUGAGUUUCUAAAUGCUUGAUUGCUUGUUUUAUUCGAAAGAAUGGUGGUUGACAUGACUUAUGAUAAUUAUUUGGGUUAUAUUUUGUUCACAGUAUGAUUGGUCAAUCAAAUGUGGAUGAUAAUGUGAGUAUCGAUGAUUCCAUUGAUGAAGAUUCGAGUGAUGAUGAUUUGUUAUAUAUGGAUAUUUUGACGCAAUUUUUGGUGAUUUAAUGCUUAAUUACUUAGUUGCCAACAAAGCAAGUACCAUUGGUAGGAGAUCUUGUAGAACAUCAUUACUUACAGGAAAAUGUACAUUCUAGAAAUUAUGAAUGGACAUUCGUACAUGUACUAUCGUAAUUUUUGUAUGUAGAAACACGUUUUCAUGAAUUUUUGUAAUAUUUUGAAAGAGAAAGGGUUGUUGAAAGAUGGGAAAAAAGUGAGUGUCGAGGAUGGUGUUGCUAUGUUUUUGAUGGUUGUAGGGCACACUACACGAUACAGUGUUGUUAUUGGUGAUAAGUUUCAGCAUUCCAACAACACAAUACGUAAAUGUUUUAAACGAGUUGUAAGCGAUGUUUGUUCAUUUGGCAUUGAGAUAAUCGUUCGACAAAUCAAGACAUUGUGCAUGAGCUGAUUUUGCACAAAUAUCCUCUCUUUAAGGAUUGUAUAGGAACAAUAGAUGGAACACAUGUUGCAGCUUGAGCUUCUGCAUCAAGACAAACAUCUUUUCGAGAAAGGAAAACUAAUGUAACAAGAAAAUGUGAUGUUGACAUGCGAUUUUGAUAUGAAAUUCACAUUUUUAUAUGACGACUGGGAAGGUACUGCUAAUGAUUCAUGAGUAUUCGUCGACACAGUUACAAGAAGGUCAAACAACUUUCUAAUGCCACGAGGAGAUCAAUUUUACCUUGUUGAUUUUGGAUAUCCAAACAUGCCUAGAUUUCUUACCCCUUAUCGAGGUCAAAAAUAUUAUCUACGUGACUAUAUUAGACGAGGAAGACUACGUGGAAAGGAAGAAUUGUUCAACUAUAGACACUCCUCGUGCCUUAACAUUAUUGAACGUUGCAUUGGAGUUUUAAAAGCAAGAUUUUCAAUUUUGAAGUUCAUUACCAAUUAUCAACUUAGUAGGCAAAGACAAAUCCCUACUGCAUGUUGUGCAAUAAAUAACUUCAAUCGUCAAGAGCACGCUUUAGAUAAGUUAUUCGUAGAGUAUUCAGAGGAGAUUAUAGUGUUUCAAGACAUACCAGAGUCAAGUUAAGAUCAAGAAGUCAUAUAUUUUGAUG